rnacentral:tRNA from 1 species
CGACUCCACUGGGGAUCGAACCCAGAGUCUCUGGUUUCGUAGACCAGCGCCUUAUCCAUUGGGCCAUGGAGUC